GAAACCUAGAACACUGAAUGUGAACACUGAGAAGCUCUGCUAUUACCUGUUGGACUGAGCUGAUCAAGAUAUACUCUAAUGGCAGCAAUGAGACUGCAAUUCCAGCUUCCCCAACGACGCAUUCAAGGGAAUAUUUAAGGUACCCUUUUUGGCCAUAGCUUUGAGACAAAAGCACUGAUGCUCCUUUAGGCUGACAGAUGCUAGAGCUCUUGCAGGACCACUGCAUGCAGAAGGUAAAUAUGACUAAGCUCCCACCUGUGCCAUGAAGCUGAAGACAAGAAAGUAGCAAAGAGCUUCAGAAAGUAUGCCCGUGUUAACAAAAGAAGUCAAGGCGUGGUAUGUACAUGUUGAAUCGUGUGCUGUCCCUUGGAAAGUGUGUUGGAGGGGAAACUGAAACUUGACACUGAAGGAGGCAAAGUGCUAAGGCAGGCACUGGCAGAAGGCAGGACUGGACACCAGAAUCACCACCACGUUGAAGGUUUUGCUUCUAUACUGGUAGAGCAAAGCAUUUUUCCAGUACGGUGAGUACUGUUCACAGGAACCUACCCAAACUAUCUCCGUGUAUUUGAAUGAUUAUUUUCUUCAUUUGGAUUCCUUAUUGUAAAGACAAGCAAGUAAAAAUGCCUCAAAGCUAAAUGUGGUCCAAAGCACCUUCCUUAAAUGGAAAAAGUAUUACAUUGCAGCUGAUGCUAAAAGUUUAUCCUGAAGCUCUGAUAUCUUCCAUGUUUGUAAUAACCUGAAGGAAUUGACCUAGUGAUACAAAGCACUUUAAAGCAAUUUUUUUUUCUUCUCUUUUCUAGCACUUGCUGUUUUGAGUGAGAGGCACAUGUUCUUCCACGUCCCUCUGAGGCUGGGCUGCUGACUGUGGACACAGAGAGUUCUGUGACAUGCAUCGGGUAGCUCGGAGGUGGAUGUGACGGCAGUUUAAUAUUAAGGCGCCUG